CUCUCGGAGAGGGAGGGCUUGGAUCCAGCAUGGCUCAGCUUCUUCUUCUCAGUUGUGGCCUGGAAAGAGGACCAAGAGGAAGAGCAAUGUGACAUCAAAAUAGUCAAUGAGGAAAGACGAGGGAGGCCAACAUGGUCAAAGCAGAUGAGAUACCCAUCAUGAUCAACUGAGAACCUACCAGGAUGGACCAGUGACAUGUACAAGCUGGUUGGUGGCGGCCAAUCAGAGGCACCUGUGUGAACCUCCACGACAAAUGCCUGCGCUGCCCACUGCAGUUUGCCAGUCCGUCGUGGAUGAAGGGUCACAGAAAACCCCCAGGCAAUGUAAGUCACCACAUUGAGGUCAACGUUGCUCUUGUUUCUUUGAGCCCUGGGAACACACAUAGACGGGCUGCGUAAUCUGCUGUUGCUACCCGACCUUUCUCAGUAAAGACUUAUCCUUGCUUAUCUGAAACUUACCUCUGCCAGCUUGUCUGAUCUGCUGAUGCUACUUGACAUUACCUAUUGCGUUAAUAAAAAAGAAAUUUUUUUUUGCCUUUUGGUCCAAAAAAAAUUGUUGGCUCUCAACGCUCCACUGUAUAGUCUUCUUUUUAAGAAGUGCUUCCAUCAGAUUUUUUUUUUUUGGUUUUUGGACUCCAGUAGUGGUCAACAUAUGGCUUUGUAAUUUGUUAAGAACCAUCAUUUAGGACCACAAAAGGGAAAUUCAUGUUUUCCAGUUCCUCUGGGAGAUAUUGAGUUGUUUGCCAACACUCAUUCAGUUGUUAUGUGUAAUGCUA